rnacentral:rRNA from 1 species
UACGUAGGGUGCAGGCGUUAAUCGGAAUUACUGGGCGUAAAGCGUGCGCAGGCGGUCUUUUAAGUCAGAUGUGAAAUCCCCGGGCUUAACCUGGGAACUGCGUUUGAAACUGGAAGGCUAGAGUGUGGCAGAGGGGGGUUGAAUUCCACGUGUAGCAGUGAAAUGCGUAGAUAUGUGGAGGAACACCGAUGGCGAAGGCAGCCCCCUGGGCUAACACUGACGCUCAUGCACGAAAGCGUGGGGAGCAAACAGG